GGAGCACCCAUCGGUGACGCUCUUCCGCCAGUACCUGCGCAUCCGCACCGUCCAGCCCAAGCCUGACUACGGAGCUGCUGUGGCUUUCUUUGAGGAGAGAGCCCGCCAGCUGGGCCUGGGCUGUCAGAAAGUGGAGGUGGCACCUGGCUAUGUGGUGACCGUGUUGACCUGGCCAGGCACCAACCCUACACUCUCCUCCAUCUUGCUCAACUCCCACACGGAUGUGGUGCCUGUCUUCAAGGAACAUUGGAGUCACGACCCCUUUGAGGCCUUCAAGGAUUCUGAGGGCUACAUCUAUGCCAGGGGUGCCCAGGACAUGAAGUGCAUCAGCAUCCAGUACCUGGAAGCUGUGAGGAGGCUGAAGGUGGAGGGCCACCGGUUCCCCAGAACCAUCCACAUGACCUUUGUACCUGAUGAGGAGGUUGGUGGUCACCAAGGCAUGGAGCUGUUCGUGCAGCGGCCUGAGUUCCAUGCCCUGAGGGCAGGCUUUGCCCUGGAUGAGGGCAUAGCCAAUCCCACUGAUGCCUUCACUGUCUUUUAUAGUGAGCGGAGUCCCUGGUCCCCUCAUGCUGAAGACACUCCCUUCCCCCUACACC
rnacentral:sRNA from 1 species